UACGGGAGGCAGCAGUGGGGAAUAUUGCACAAUGGGCGCAAGCCUGAUGCAGCCAUGCCGCGUGUAUGAAGAAGGCCUUCGGGUUGUAAAAUACUUUCAGUCGUGAGGAAGGUGUUAAGGUUAAUAACCUUAGCAAUUGACGUUAGCGACAGAAGAAGCACCGGCUAACUCCGUGCCAGCAGCCGCGGUAAUACGGAGGGUGCGAGCGUUAAUCGGAAUUACUGGGCGUAAAGGGCACGCAGGCGGUUAAUUAAGUUGGAUGUGAAAUCCCCGGGCUUAACCUGGGAAUGGCAUUCAAGACUGGUUAGCUAGAGUCUUGUAGAGGGGGUAGAAUUCCAUGUGUAGCGGUGAAAUGCGUAGAGAUGUGGAGGAAUACCGGUGGCGAAGGCGGCCCCUGGGACAAGACUGACGCUCAUGUGCGAAAGCGUGGGGAGCAAACAGGGAUUAGAUACC
rnacentral:rRNA from 1 species